rnacentral:rRNA from 1 species
GACGAACGCUGGCGGCGUGCCUAAUACAUGCAAGUUGAGCGCUGAAGGUUGGUACUUGUACCGACUGGAUGAGCAGCGAACGGGUGAGUAACGCGUGGGGAAUCUGCCUUUGAGCGGGGGACAACAUUUGGAAACGAAUGCUAAUACCGCAUAAAAACUUUAAACACAAGUUUUAAGUUUGAAAGAUGCAAUUGCAUCACUCAAAGAUGAUCCCGCGUUGUAUUAGCUAGUUGGUGAGGUAAAGGCUCACCAAGGCGAUGAUACAUAGCCGACCUGAGAGGGUGAUCGGCCACAUUGGGACUGAGACACGGCCCAAACUCCUACGGGAGGCAGCAGUAGGGAAUCUUCGGCAAUGGACGAAAGUCUGACCGAGCAACGCCGCGUGAGUGAAGAAGGUUUGCGGAUCGUAAAACUCUGUUGGUAGAGAAGAACGUUGGUGAGAGUGGAAAGCUCAUCAAGUGACGGUAACUACCCAGAAAGGGACGGCUAACUACGUGC